rnacentral:rRNA from 1 species
GACGAACGCUGGCGGCGUGCCUAAUACAUGCAAGUCGAGCGCAGGAAGCCGUCUGAACCCUUCGGGGGGACGACAGUGGAAUGAGCGGCGGACGGGUGAGUAACACGUAAAGAACCUGCCCAUAGGUCUGGGAUAACCACGAGAAAUCGGGGCUAAUACCGGAUGUGUCAUCGGACCGCAUGGUCCGAUGAUGAAAGGCGCUUCGGCGUCGCCCAUGGAUGGCUUUGCGGUGCAUUAGCUAGUUGGUGGGGUAACGGCCCACCAAGGCGACGAUGCAUAGCCGACCUGAGAGGGUGAUCGGCCACACUGGGACUGAGACACGGCCCAGACUCCUACGGGAGGCAGCAGUAGGGAAUCUUCCACAAUGGACGAAAGUCUGAUGGAGCAACGCCGCGUGAACGAUGAAGGCUUUCGGGUCGUAAAGUUCUGUUGUAAGGGAAGAACAAGUGCCGCAGGCAAUGGCGGCACCUUGACGGUACCUUGCGAGAAAGCCACGGCUAACUACGUGCCAGCCGCCGCGGUAAGAC